rnacentral:rRNA from 1 species
GAUGAACGCUGGCGGCGUGCCUAAUACAUGCAAGUCGAGCGAACAGACGAGGAGCUUGCUCCUCUGACGUUAGCGGCGGACGGGUGAGUAACACGUGGAUAACCUACCUAUAAGACUGGGAUAACUUCGGGAAACCGGAGCUAAUACCGGAUAAUAUAUUGAACCGCAUGGUUCAAUAGUGAAAUACGGUUUUGCUGUCACUUAUAGAUGGAUCCGUGCCGCAUUAGCUAGUUGGUAAGGUAACGGCUUACCAAGGCGACGAUGCGUAGCCGACCUGAGGGGGUGAUCGGCCACACUGGAACUGGGACACGGUCCAGACUCCUACGGGAGGCAGCAGUAGGGAAUCUUCCGCAAUGGGCGGAAGCCUGACGGAGCAACGCCGCGUGAGUGAUGAAGGUCUUCGGAUCGUAAAACUCUGUUAUUAGGGAAGAACAAAUGUGUAAGUAACUAUGCACGUCUUGACGGUACCUAAUCAGAAAGCCACGGCUAACUACGUG